rnacentral:rRNA from 1 species
CACCGCGGUUAUACGAGAGGCUCAAGUUAAUAGUGCUCGGCGUAAAGAGUGGUUAAGAACUUUUAUUUUCUAAAGCCAAACAUUUCCCCAACUGUAAUACGUAACCGGAAAAACGAAGCCCCUCAGCAAAAGCAGCUUUAUAAACUCUGACUCCACGACAACUAAGAAA